AUUAAGUGUCGGAGCUUACGAGUUACCAUUCAAACAUACGUAUUUGUUGGGACGCCAAUUAACCACAACUACAAUAUGAAACUCUUCAGUUUGUUUGUUGUUUUCGCCAUGCUGGCCCUCAUGAUGGGUGGAACCUCAGCAAGUCCUAAGGGCAUCGGAAAAGUCAUUCGGAAAGGCGGAAAAGUUAUUAAACAUGGAUUAACCGCCAUUGGAAUAGCUGGCACCGGUCACGAAGUCUACCAAGAAGCCAAAAAUAGAGGUUAAUAAAUUAAGCCAUCAAGACUGUUCUAAUUUAUGUAUUGAGAAUGUUUAAUCAAUAAAAUAAUUAAAAAAAA